rnacentral:misc_RNA from 1 species
GAUGAAGAACUCAGCGAAAUGCGAUACGUAAUGUGAAUUGCAGAAUUCAGUGAAUCAUCGAAUCUUUGAACGCAUAUUGCGCUCUCUGGUAUUCCGGAGAGCAUGCUUGUUUGAGUAUCAGUAAACACCUCAACUUCCAUAUCUUUUUUGAAAUGGGAGUUGGACUUGAGUGAUCCCAACGCUUUUCCUCACCGAAAAGUGGCGGGUUACUUGAAAUGCAGGUGCAGCUGGACUUUUCUCUGAGCUAUAAGCAUAUCUAUUUAGUCUGCCUAAAAAACAGAUUAUUACCUUUGCUGCAGCUAACAUAAAGGAGAUUAGUUCUUGUGCUGACUGAUGCAGGAUUCACAAAGACAGCUUCGGCCGACUUUGUAAACUCGAUCUCAAAUCAAGUAAGACUACCCGCUGAACUUAAGCAUAUCAAUAAGCGGAGGA